UCCUUUUCCUGAUUAACGACCGACAGCCACGUUGGCAGACAACGAGGAUAACGGUCUGACACAAUGCGAGCUGACAUUGUUGGAAUAUUCUUCUCAGUCAGGUGGAUGGAUGAUUAUGCCUCUGACCUGGAUAUCAUCGGACUGCCCUAUUCAGCGACGGGGCUGGAUCUUUGAACAACAGUGCUUGGCUAUAUGGGAAAUAUGCGGCUAAUCCCGGUUGCAGGCUGCAGGCCGCAAGCGAUCCAUGCAGCGCCAUGAUUUCCCAGCAUGUCGCGCGAAUCCAUGAGACGGAUGUUGCAACACCCCGCGCACGAACAAAAGGUUUUUUUUGCCUAGUUGUCAAGUACGAAUUGGAUUUUUCUAACAUCUGUGUAAUUAUCAAAUUGCACUAUUCAAAUGCCUUGCGAGUG
rnacentral:sRNA from 1 species